rnacentral:lncRNA from 1 species
ACUUCCUGCCGCGGAGUCGAGGAGUUUCUUGCAAGGGCCCCAGUCCCCGCCCUAGCUGGGGGCCAAUUUCCAGGAAGUCCAGACGACAUCGCAAACGCUAACCCCAUGUCCUAUUUUAAUUCCCCAUGCAUCCUACCAAGGUGGGCUCCUGGAGAGCGACAGAUGCUUCAGGGACAUGACCAAGAGCUGUGUUGGCCAUGGAAGGUGCCAUUUUUUUUUUUUUUUUAGCAAGGGUCUCUCCAUAACCAUGGUUGGUUGGUCUGGAACUAUGCAAGCCAAGCUCACUUCGAAUUCAGAGUUCUCCUGCCUUUACCUCCAAAUGUUGGGAUUAAAUGCAUGAGCCACCAAACUCAUGGGUGCUACCUUGAGCAAAAACCGAGAAUAAAACGAAACCUUAGAUU